UGGCAUGUAGCUCAGCGGUAGAGCAUCCGGCUGUUAACCGGACGGUCCUUGGUUCGAUCCCAAGUUUGCCAGCCA
rnacentral:tRNA from 1 species